rnacentral:lncRNA from 1 species
UCCUCCAAAUCGUCUGCAGUAACCACAAAGUCGCACCACUUGCACCUGCAGUCCGACAGUUGGAGGGAGUUCCCGCAUUUGGUACACAGCUUCUGAAACCCCUCCGACGAGCUGCUUCCACCGCCGGUGGCUCUCACGAUGAAAAGGUACCGCUUCCGACCCACCGGAUGACUGGGCCAGCCUCGCCUAACCUAGUCCGACAACAUCCCACAUUAGCUACCACAUUCCACGAAUUUUUUUUUGGAAGUACUAAUGAUUUCCCGGUUUUUUUUUGUUUCAGGAAGACCCGGGAAAGAAGUGGGAGGAAAAUAAAAAAUAAUUGUGGGUGGAAAAAUCAGAAGAGAGAAAACGACGGGAGACAAGACUCACCAACUACACGGCACUGGUUACAGUAAACAGAUCUGGGAGAUCUGGUCACGUCCUCCUCGACGAUAUCGAGAGCGACGACGAGAGGGGAGAGAUCUGGUCCGUCGA